GACUGACUCCUCAGAGUCACUUGAAGCUGACCUAGGAGGAAGUGCUCAGAGCCAGCUGUUGCCUUUAUAGUGUGCAGAAGGGGAGUGUCUUACUGGCAAGCCCAAGCUUGGAGGAGAGGCUUUUUCUCUGGAUGCUACAGGAGUGUGCCAGCUGCCCGAGUGGCUGGUGAGACUUGCUGAUCCUGGGAGCAUGAAGAUUCAGCUCUCCUGGUUCGGGUCCCUGGAGUCAUUCCUGUGUCCUUGGAGGAAUAUGGAGGAUUCCCACUCAUCUUUUGUCAUCACAGAAAUCCUGGCGUUGCUGCAGUCAUUGUGUCCCGUCCCACCACGGCCUGCGCUCCGACCCUCUGUGCACUGUUGCUUGGUGGAAGCUGCUGUGGACUGGGGAACUCUGCCCUGUUUUGCAGAUCUCAGACAUGGUCCCAUUGCCUGCUGGUUGUUCCAGAGAAGAAUGACCGAUCCUGAACUGUCCUGGGAAAGACCUUGGCAUUUUCGCUGCUAUUGUAGCAGCCAUUACUGCUGCAGCCAUUGUGUCUGCAGUGUCUGGAGCUACCCUCCCCCAAUCUAUUGUUAAGCAAGCACAGCGGGUGAACUUUCUGGAGUAGUUGCUAACAAUUGGGAAUUCUAAAUUUUAUUACAGGAGAGGCUUGACUAGGCCCUUGGUGGUAUGGCCAUAACAGCUGAGGAGAACCAGAUGAGGUGCCUACAACUUAUCGGGAGAGGCUCAAUUUCCACAAUCUCUUAUAUUAAUGCCAUCUGGCCCUUGCUCUUUCGCCCCUGGGCUCAAGUGAGAGGAAUGAGAAGAUGACCUGAUGUAGCUAUCCUCAGGGACGGGCAACUUCCUCUGACCCUUGACCAAUCUAAGACAGGAACCUUGGGGGCGACAAGGUGAUCCUAUGACAGAUAAGACUGGGGUUUGAGAGGUCGAUCCUAAGACAGAGGUGGCUACACCCCGUUUAAACGUGCGGGCUGGUCAAAUGCUCCUCUGCCCAGUUUCUCCCCCAAUAACACACACGUAUAGCCCAGAACGGUGUGUUACAGCAUAAGUUCAUUCCUAGCCAUUGGGGUGCAGUCCUAACUGCAAGAGUGGCUUGCCAUGGCCGAGCUGGGCACUCUGUGAGGCAUGUCUAAUCUCUCUCAGACCACUACUUCCACCUAAUGGUUUUUUUUUUUUUAAAGAAAAAUGGGGGAGAUGCACGGAGCCAUAUUGGAUUUGGGCCUAGCCGCUUUUUGACUGCAUGGUUCAAAGUGACUCUGGGCUGUUUGGCCACAGAGACUCACCCUGAAGAUGACUGCCAUAAAUCUUAAGAUUGUUGGAUAAAGCCUCUCCCAUGAAUUUACGGCACAGGAGUAUAACAUUCAAGGGAUGCCUCAGCUCGAGCAGAUACCAGUUAUCUCCUCAGUCAACACCCAGUGUCUCCACCACCUGACCUCAU
rnacentral:lncRNA from 1 species